GAGUGUGGGAUGUUUUUUUCUUCUUGACUAUAUAUUCGUCGCCAGUCACAGAGAAGAGUACUUCUCUGUGACUUUGAGUCUCUAUCUUUCAUUUGAAAGGCAGAGGAUUUCCCUAUCCCACAGCCCCACCCUCUCUUCUCUAUGACUCAGAGUUUCUAUCUUUCAUUUAAAAAGUAGAGGAUUCCCCUGCCCCACAACCCCACCUACUCG
rnacentral:lncRNA from 1 species